AGAGUUCUGGAUAAGCCAAACCUACAAACGAUUGACUUCCAGACGAAGUCCUGCACUUUAGCUUCUGUGAUUUUUGCCAAAGGUUCGGCUUCGACCCACUUGGUGAAGUAGCCAAUUGCCACCAGGAGGAACUUCCGCUGCCCGAACGUCAUGGGAAAAGGUCCAAGGAUAUCCAUCCCCCAUUGUGCAAACGGCCAUGGGGCACUCAAGGGUGUAAGUUUGGAGGCGGGCUAUCUUUGGAUAUUCGCAUAUCUCUGACA
rnacentral:lncRNA from 1 species